AUUUAUGGUGGGCUGUGUGAGGGCUUCUUAGGAAGCGCCGGGUUUGAGUAGCCGGUAAGACCAACCUUGCACAGUUCACCACCCGU
rnacentral:antisense_RNA from 26 species